UACAUGUGGGGCAAGCGUUGUUCGGAAUUACUGGGCAUAAAGGGUGCGUAGGCGGGUUUUUAAGUCAGGGGUGAAAUCCUGGAGCUCAACUCCAGAACUGCCUUUGAUACUGAAGAUCUUGAGUCCGGGAGAGGUGAGUGGAACUGCGAGUGUAGAGGUGAAAUUCGUAGAUAUUCGCAAGAACACCAGUGGCGAAGGCGGCUCACUGGCCCGGUACUGACGCUGAGGCACGAAAGCGUGGGGAGCAAACAGG
rnacentral:rRNA from 1 species